UCUGGCCUAGUAGUUAAAGCUUCCGCCUCAGAUGCGGAAAGUCGCAGGUUCGAACCCCCGCAGAG